rnacentral:rRNA from 1 species
CCUACGGGUGGCAGCAGUGGGGAAUAUUGGACAAUGGGGGCAACCCUGAUCCAGCCAUGCCGCGUGUGUGAAGAAGGCCCUCGGGUUGUAAAGCACUUUCAGUGAGGAAGAACGCCUGGUGGUUAAUACCCAUCAGGAAAGAUAUCACUCACAGAAGAAGCACCGGCUAACUCCGUGCCAGCAGCCGCGGUAAUACGGAGGGUGCGAGCGUUAAUCGGAAUUACUGGGCGUAAAGCGCGCGUAGGUGGCUUGAUAAGCCGGUUGUGAAAGCCCCGGGCUCAACCUGGGAACGGCAUCCGGAACUGUCAAGCUAGAGUGCAGGAGAGGAAGGUAGAAUUCCCGGUGUAGCGGUGAAAUGCGUAGAGAUCGGGAGGAAUACCAGUGGCGAAGGCGGCCUUCUGGACUGACACUGACACUGAGGUGCGAAAGCGUGGGUAGCAAACAGGAUUAGAUACCCCUGUAGUC